CUCCAACUGACGAGUUCCAAAUAGGACGAUAUGCACAUCCUGGAC
rnacentral:hammerhead_ribozyme from 1 species